rnacentral:rRNA from 1 species
UACAGAGGUCCCAAGCGUUGUUCGGAUUCACUGGGCGUAAAGGGUGCGUAGGCGGUCGGGUAAGUCUGAUGUGAAAUCUCACAGCUUAACUGUGAAACUGCAUUGGAUACUAUCCGGCUAGAGGAAUGGAGGGGAGACUGGAAUACUUGGUGUAGCAGUGAAAUGCGUAGAUAUCAAGUGGAACACCAGUGGCGAAGGCGAGUCUCUGGGCAUUAACUGACGCUGAGGAGCGAAAGCAUGGGGAGCGAACAGG